rnacentral:lncRNA from 1 species
AUACUGUUAGAAAGUAUAUAUUGGACAAUUAUAUGUCACCCUUUACGAAUACAAGACUUGAAAUAUGGUAACAGUUUUGACUCUUUCUAAAUGAAUAAAAUCAAAGGCACACUAAAAUAAGCAGUACUGCUCUUGACUCUUGAGUACAGACACACAGGAAUUCCGAAUGAUGAACUGGUAGCUGGCACGAAAUCUGUGGCAUAUGGUAACGGGUUGAACUCUUGCUCACUGAAACGAAAACAGGGACAGACUAAAUACACAGUAGAGUGCCCUUUGAGUAAAAUCAGAUAUGGUUUAUGAAUAAUUAACUGAUAAAUGCAUGAAAUCCCAGUUACACUUGAAUUUGUGGAGUAAAACAGCUUGAUUGAUAAUACUAACUAAAUGAUGAGUACAUAACCAUUGAUGACUAUAGAGAAUGGAACCUUCUCAUGUCCAAAAAAGCACAAAAAGGUAUACGGCAUCCAUCAAUGUAGAUUAUCUACCACUAAGUAGGCAGGACAAGAAGCCUGUUAAUCUGUCAAUUUGAUAUUAUGGAUUCUCAAACUUCACAUAUUCGCAAAUACUCACCUUUUCCACGUUUAACAGAUAAUUUCUGAAGUUAAGCACUAAUGCUUGUGAAUUUGUGGGAUAAUUCAGUCACCUUAAGAAGAGGUGCUUGCACUUGAGGGUUUAUUCCUAAAUAGAAGGUCAGUGCUAUUGUGUACUCUCUGAUUUAUACGCAGCUGUUUAAGCAUCUUUGGCAUUGGAUAUAGUAUUAGAAGUCAACUCCAUACAUUAGGUUAGCUUUCUGAUCAAUGUUGCCAAAUCUGUUUUUUAGAGCGAGAUUCUUAUGCAUAUAGCUUGGUAGUUUCCAUGUUGCAGUGGUAUGGCCUUAAUAGCAAAUGCAGGUGGGUUUGCAAAGCGUUGGUAAUACCCCUGCAUUUUUACUGCAAGUUAGUUCAGAGUUAAAGAUCAGUGUCAUAUGCACGACAUUCUGGUUUAAAGUGAUUGAAAAAAUCCAUAAUAAAAUUAGGAACAUUACCAUGGGAUAUCAAACAGAAACUAUCCAUAAACAGUCAAACAAAAUUGGACCAAAUCACACUAAGGAAACUUGCAUUAAUGAGCAAACACAUGUACUCACCUAGAACAAAGGCCCAACUGCACAAAAAUGUUCUUAACAACAAGAAACCAAAGAUAAACGCACUAUGCUGCAGAGGCAUUCAUUUGAAUUGCAGUUCAUCAAACUGUUGAAUAACAGAACAUGGCAGUAUCCAUUACAAAAUUAUGAAUUCAACUGAAGAAUUGUACGGGUUAGGUUCCUCAAAAAAAAAUGCACAGUUUGCCAACUCCAACCGCCUCUUUAUAGUUAUAAAAGUAACCUCUUGUAUUUGUAGUGCCCAAUAUCUGGUUCUACACAUACAAUGAUAUGCGCUUAGGUUGGUAAUGUAGUAAACUGAAGUACAUUAGGCUUUUGCUCAUGUCAUCAGGCUAUAAGAUGGAAUAACAAUAAGCGAGCUAGUUCUUGUAUGACAUAUGGUUCUGAGGUGUGCUUACAAGCUACUCAAACCAAGACUUUUCACAAAAUGCAGCCAAAAUAUAGAUCUGAUAACAUUAGAAAUCACCAUGCACUGAAACAAAUACGUAUUCAUGCGACAAAAAGGAGGUUCUCUUAUGAUUCCGUGGUGAAAACUGACACGGUCCAGAAGCACACAAGGAGUUCAAUAGCAGAUUCACAUCAGAUCAUUAUCAACCAUACCAGCAGAAUCAAGAAAUGUGCGGUGGCAUUGAACAACGGUACUGUAGCACCUUCAGUUAAGGCUUCUCACGGCAGAUAUAAAGGGUGGGGUUCAACGAACUUUGGUGGCAAUGUUAUCAAACAAAGCUCGCGCAAAAUAGACACGAACUCCCUUAUUUGAGCCAACAAGACUCGGUAAGUAGCAAGAAUAGAUUGGCUAAACCGGAUGCAAUCCAUGUACGGGUACGGUAUGCAAGAGAACACUGAACAAUCGACAUGGCCGCGACCGUGAAAGCGCGCCUGGAACGAUGAAACGGUCAAUGUCGGGCCGUUGCGGCGACUGCGCUGAAGGAAUUGACAGGAGGGGAGGGGAGCCGAGCCGAACCGCAAAGCGUAUUCAGGCGUACAAUCGUCGGCUGUAGAUGGGGAGCGGAGGGGAGGGGAGGGGAGGGGAGCUCACGAUUUGUUCGACGGAAUGCUGCCCCGGGGCGGAGGGAGGGGAGGCGACAGGCUUGUAGUAGAGGAAUACUCGGGGCAGCGCCGGCGACCGACGCAGUUCCACCGGAAAGACGGCGGACGCUCCCGCAAUUUCAAAUGGAUACAAGGGGCACACGCACGACCACGCGGAUACGGUGCCCGUCUCGGCGAGGCGAGGAGACAUGGCGGG